ensembl:lncRNA
CUUGAUUCAGUGAUUAAGCAUUAGUAAGUGUCUUUAAAUUUGCUUAGAUUUGAUAAGAAAAAGCCUGCUGGUUUGAUGAAAAAGUGACUUAUUCUAUUUUAUUUUUUAUACUUUAUUAUAACUUGACCACUGUCUAAAUAUUUGAGAACAUAUAAUUUUGUUUUUAACUAUAGCAUGCCUGGUGUGUAUUUGGGUUACACUUGCAUGGUCGAGAGCAGCAAUGGCAAAUGAGGUUCAUAUAAAAAAUAGCUAUCAGGGAGUAAAAGCCUAGUUCAGGUUUAAGAGACAGAGUGGGAAGAUCCAUCAUGAUGUAUGUCCUGGUUGAGAGGCCUAAGUGGCAACUUGCCUGUAUUAGCCAUCACUGAAAGGGUCCGGAAAUUUUGUAGUUUCUUGUUUAAAAUCUCACUUCUGUACUAUUUAACAGAACCAAAAUGUUAUGGCCUAAAUGUGACAAUUUUGUAUUAUAGAGUUUGAAUUUUGAGUUCUCUAAUAACAACAAAACAUUUCUACUGUGCUAGGAAGAAGUAAAGAAUUGCUGAGUCAUUGCUGAGUCACUCUUUGAACCCUGUUUGUUGCUAUUAAUAGAGGGAGCCAAGGUUAAUUAUCACCAGAAUGAGAGGAGUGUCAAUCUGUCUGCCAUAGCAUGGUACUCUGAACAAGCCCAAGUUCAGAAAAGAAAGGAAAACAAAUGUCAAAGUUUACUAGCAUAUGGAGAUUCUGUACUCCAGUCCCUAAGGAGGAGGGUUAUCCAAUCUGUCUUCAGCCCACCUUUGCUGAUUCUGCUCUCCUUCUUAAUGCUCUUUUGGUAAUAACUGAGCUCUUUCAACCAUUUGCCAGUCAGAAAGUCUUCGAAUCCACCUGUGACCUGGAAGCGCCCCUACUUUGAGUUGUUCACCACUCCGGACUGAACCAAUGUACACCUUACAUGUAUGGAUUGAUCUCUGCCUGUAACUUCUAUCCCUCUAAAAUGUAGAAAAUUAAGCUGUAAACCAGACAUCUUGGGCACAUGGUCUCAGAACCUUCUGGGUCUGUGUCAUGGUCAUGCUCCUCACAUUCGGCUCAGAAUAAAUCUCUUUAAAUAUUUACAGAGUUGGACUUUUUUCAUUGACACCAAGCAACCUGAAUCAAGCUAGUACAGACAGCACAGACUCUCAGAUGAAAACUCUUAAUGUAAUUAAUGGGAAAGCAACUUGGAAAACACAUAAUUUAUUAAUUUUUAUUUAUUUAUUUUUGCUUAAAUCCAUGUUUCCGUGAAACAUAUUUUAAUUUGCUAUGGCAUUUCUUAUUAUUUGUCUUCCUUUCAAGAUAAUAUAUCAUCCUGUUGUGCAACAAGGUUGUACAGCAAGGUGUGUACUUAAUAUCACUGAACUGUAUGCUUAAAAAUGGUUAAAAUGGUAAACUCCAUUUACAUUUUACAUCAAUUAAAACAAACAUACAAUUGCUGAUUAAUUCUCUCAUUUUAGAAAUGCUAACUUUAGUGAACUCAUCAGUAAAUGGUAUCUGGGAGCUCUCAGAUGAUAAAUAUUAUACGAUUCAAUGGGAAAUAACAAAUGUUUCAAUAUAAUAAACAGCCCAAAGAACUUUCAGUAUUUUAAUUGUAAGCAAUAUUUUGUUAAUGCUAGAAGAUUAGAGAAUUCUGUAAGGUACAUUAAAGGCAAACAGAUUUUGUGUCAUAUUCUUUUAUGAUUAUCUUUAUCAUGAUCAAGACUGGGUUUGAAUAUUAGCUAAAUGACAAUACCUUUUCAGAGUCUCAUUUUAACAUCUAAUUUUUAAAAAGUUGUAGGGUUCAAAAGAAUAUGUGAAUAUACAAUAAUGGGAUAAACAUGGAUUGUUUGUUAUCACUUAGACUCUUGAUUCAGUGAGGCUUGUUUUGAAUGCUGUGUUCAUCACUUACUGUGUGAUAAUCUCUAGGGCUCAGUUUCCUCAUGCACAAAAAUAGAAAAACAAUAGCACCUUUCAUUAUAGACGGUUACAUAGAUGAAAUAAUUUAAUAAAUCACUUGACACAGUACCUGAUACAUUGCAAAAAUUCAGAAAAAGGGUAAUUAUAAUACCUAGACCAAAUGAUGCUUUGAAGAUUUCAUGAGAUAGUAUGUGCAAAAUACGUAGCAUUGCCCAACAUAUUGUAGCAACUCAAUCAAUGCCAGGUAUUGAUGCCAUUAUUGUAUGUAUCAAAAUUUUAUGGUAGCAUCAUAUAUCAUCAUUCAGCCAUUUCCUUAAUCCUGCAUCACUGCAGCACUCUUGGAAUGCCCAGCUUCAUCCUAAUGUUUCUUUUUCUUCAUACUGAUCUUCUAGAAUACCACUUUCCUCAUUGACAGUUGUCUUUCCAGAAAUUUUCCAUGACUUUCCCUUGCCUGAUG